rnacentral:rRNA from 1 species
CCUACGGGGGGCAGCAGUGGGGGAUAUUGGACAAUGGGGGGAACCCUGAUCCAGCGACGCCGCGUGAGUGAAGAAGUAUUUCGGUAUGUAAAGCUCUGUCAGCAGGGAAGAAAGAAAUGACGGUACCUGACCAAGAAGCCCCGGCUAACUAAGUGCCAGCAGCCGCGGUAAUACGUAGGGGGCAAGCGUUAUCCGGAAUUACUGGGUGUAAAGGGAGCGUAGACGGCUAAGUAAGGCUGAAGUGAAAGGCCGGGGCGCAACCCCGGGACUGCUCUGGAAACUAUUGAACUAGAGUGCAGGAGAGGUAAGCGGAAGUCCUAGUGUAGCGGUGAAAUGCGUAGAUAUUAGGAGGAACACCAGUGGCGAAGGCAGCUUACUGGACUGUAACUGACGUUGAGGCUCGAAAGCGUGGGGAGCAAACAGGAUUAGAUACCCUUGUAGUC